rnacentral:rRNA from 1 species
GACGAACGCUGGCGGCGUGCCUAAUACAUGCAAGUCGAACGAGAGCGACCGGUGCUUGCACUGGUCAAUCUAGUGGCGAACGGGUGAGUAACACGUGGGUAACCUGCCCAUCAGAGGGGGGUAACAUCCGGAAACGGAUGCUAAAACCGCAUAGGUCUUCGAGCCGCAUGGCUUGAAGAGGAAAAGAGGCGCAAGCUUCUGCUGAUGGAUGGACCCGCGGUGCAUUAGCUAGUUGGUGAGGUAACGGCUCACCAAGGCCGUGAUGCAUAGCCGACCUGAGAGGGUGAUCGGCCACAUUGGGACUGAGACACGGCCAAAACUCCUACGGGAGGCAGCAGUAGGGAAUCUUCCGCAAUGGACGCAAGUCUGACGGAGCAACGCCGCGUGAGUGAAGAAGGUUUUCGGAUCGUAAAACUCUGUUGUUAGAGAAGAACAAGUGCUAGAGUAACUGUUAGCGCCUUGACGGUAUCUAACCAGAAAGCCACGGCUAACUACGUG